rnacentral:tRNA from 1 species
GGUGGCUCAGUGGUAGAGCACUUGCCUCGCAUACAUGAGGUCCUAGGUUCGAUUCCUCAGCACCA